UACAGAGGUCUCAAGCGUUGUUCGGAUUCAUUGGGCGUAAAGGGUGCGCAGGUGGUGGGGUAAGUCGGAUGUGAAAUCCCGGGGCUCAACCCCGGAACUGCAUUCGAAACUGCCUUGCUCGAGUACUGGAGAGGAGACUGGAAUUUACGGUGUAGCAGUGAAAUGCGUAGAUAUCGUAAGGAAGACCAGUGGCGAAGGCGGGUCUCUGGACAGUUCCUGACGCUGAGGCACGAAGGUCAGGGGAGCAAACGGG
rnacentral:rRNA from 1 species